UACGUAGGGGGCAAGCGUUGUCCGGAAUCAUUGGGCGUAAAGCGCGUGUAGGCGGUUCGGUAAGUCUGCUGUGAAAGUCCAGGGCUCAACCCUGGGAUGCCGGUGGAUACUGUCGGACUAGAGUACGGAAGGGGCGAGUGGAAUUCCCGGUGUAGCGGUGAAAUGCGCAGAUAUCGGGAGGAACACCAAUUGCGAAGGCAGCUCGCUGGGACGUUACUGACGCUGAGACGCGAAAGCGUGGGGAGCAAACAGG
rnacentral:rRNA from 1 species